GGUUCUGCCUCUCCAGCCUUGCCAGAUUGUUCUGUCUACUCUGGUGGUGUCUUGUCAGGCUGAUGUUUUGAGUUUUGUUUCUGCUUGUAUUGAGAAGACUAAUUUUCCACUCCUUGUUCAGAUUCACCUCCAUGUUCCUGUCUACCCUGCUCACCUCUGUGUCCAUAUUGGACCUGAUAUUGUCCAGCUUUUGGAGUUUUGGAUUCUUUGCUCUGGACAUCUCCAUUAGACUGUUGCACUCACCUGCUGGGGAACGCCUUCCUGCUCUCCUUCUUUGACCAACAGUAGCCCAGUUUCCACCAGUACCCUGUAGGUCCACAGAACAGAUGACCGUCGGGCCCCGACUGAUCCGGAUCGAUUGUGUCUCCAGCUAUCAGUCCUGAAAGAAGAGGAGGAAAUGAAGCCAUUAGACUAACAUUGUUCAUGAGGCUGAGAGGAGAAGACAGUGGAAAAUAUCAUGUGUACAGAGUUACUGUGUGGACAGAAACAGAUUUCUGCUCUGAACUCCAGUUUGCGUCAGUCUUUAGAAGAGAAUAAAAACAUGUUGUUCUUUGUGUCUCACCAAAGAAAAGAGCAGCAAGAAUAAUCCACAGCCAAAGUUCCAUCUGUACAACAAGGUUUAAAGCAACAGGAGAAAGCAGCUGCUGUUCAACAUUCAGUGUGAGAAUUGUUCUCUUCACAGCAGCACUUAUUAUUGACACAAUGGUUGAACACAGUGCAGAAGUAGUGCACCGCCUACUUGAUAAUGUCGCCCUCUAGUGGAGGUAAAAAGUUGAGUCCAACAGUGUGGAAAAAAGGCUUCCAGCAGCUUGUCAGUGUGUCAGCUUGUGUUUUUGUACAGAGACUGUGGGUUUGCUGUCACUGUGGGCCUCACAGCACAGUAGUACAGAGCAGAGUCUGUCACUGCAGCAGAGGAGAUCUGAACAUUCAUGUGAGUGUUUUCCUCACUCACUGUAACAGACAGUCCAGACUUUGGACUCAUUAAUAUUCUUCCUGUUCCUGAGUGAGAGGUGAGGAACUCUGGUGGCUUUCCUGGAUCUUGUCGAUACCA